GCCUGGCUGGCUCAGUCAGUGGAGCAUGUGACUCUCAAUCUCGGGGUCGUGAGUUUGAGCCCCAUGUUGGGUG
rnacentral:tRNA from 1 species